AACGUUGGGAGGAUCCAAGAAAUAGGAACGUUAUUCCUCUCUGCAAUUCGUCUCUGACGGCGACUGUUUAAUGCUUCUGGGUGGUCACACACGCUUCCUCUUCGGCACAGACUACAUGCAUCGCCCAAAAGAGGCUAGCCCCCCUUUCCUUUGUUUCCCAUAGCCAGAGAUGGAUACUGGACGCACAUGCCGUUCGCUUCCUCAGUUGCUUUACGACAAAAAAUGAGUUUAAUUUCGGCGUCAUCCUUUAAGGACCCCUUCGGCUGCUUUAGAAAGGCAUUGCGACGGGGGCGGCGAGGGGGGGGAACCGGUUACGAAAUAAAUGAGAGAAUGAAGCAAUGGCCAGAUUGGGGGACGCAUACACGGAUCUCUUUGCAACGACAAUGAUUUUUUCAGACGACAGAUGCAGAAUGAAAGUGAGCUGGACUAGACCAAUACAGUAGCAGUGACCAACCUAUGGCUUUCAACCUGAUUUCAUGGAGCCUUCUACAAGCAGUUUGUUUAUGCAUUUGUCCUCUGGCAUACAGAAGAGGGGAGGAGAGAGAAGAGAAGGAAAAGGAGAAAGAUUUUGAACACUGUGAAGCAAUCAGCAAGAUAGGCAAUACAAGGGCUGCCAUGGCCAGGCGCAGAUGCUCUUUCAAAUGUUCAAUCUCUCGUUCUGACCGUUGCUUGAUGUGAUUCAGCUCCAGGUAGAUAUCAUGGUACUUCCCUGAGGCAAACUUCUUGUCCUGCAUGGGGAAGGAAGUACCAUUGUCCAGAAAGAAUAGAAACCAAGGAUACAAAUGAAAGACAUUGGCAUCUUCUGAGAUGAAGUACAUGUUAUUAAUUAUAUAAUAGGCUCAAAUUAUGGAAUCUUUUGUGCUGGAGGUUUGUUGCUGAAUAAAAUUAACAGUGGUAUAUGAUUGCAACAAAGCAUAUAUAAGAAUAAAUGCUGAGCAGAUAGCUCGGUAUUGAAUGGAACUUAAGACAGGGAUUUUGGAUGUUUUCCUGGUUGUUUAAUGUAUUUAUGGACUUAUAAAGAUGUUAGAACAGGGGUAUCAAACUUGCAGGUUGUGGGCUGGAUGCAUCACAUGCUGACUACGCCCACCCACGUUUUAGUGAAGAGGGAAAAGUCGCAAUACGUCAUAUGACAAUGUGAUGCAAGUUUGACACCCCUGUGUUAGAAGAAUACUGGGCAUGAACCAGAAUAUGCAGAUGAUAUUGUGUUGGAUGAGAAGUUGAAUGAUUAGAAGUGAAUGUUAGAUAUGAAGUGAAUGUUAGAUGCACAAUCUAACACAAAGGUAGCUGUGGUAACAGAGAAAAUAACAGGGAAAAUAGACUCAAUGUUUCCAAGUAGUACAUAAAUGGCAAAAAGUAAGGCAAAUAGAUGAUCUGUACACCAAUAUUGUGGAAUAUUAGUUAAAGAUGGGAACCUGGAUAGAAAAAUUUUAAGAUGUGCAUGCUUCUAGAAAAACAGUAGAUAGGUCUAUUCCAAGAAGUGAAUGUUCAUCAGAAGACAAUAGCUGUAUAUUUAGCAUGCUUUUGCCCACUUUUUUAAUGUUAGGUAUAUCACAAGAGAAAUAUAAAGUUGAAUGCAAUGUAAUAUGAUAAAAUGAGAUCAAGGUGAAUUAAGAAUGAAUGUGGGCUGAAUAUUAAGUAAGUGACUAAUAUGAAAAAAAUGUAUUAGUCAAUCAUAAACAAAGAGAAUCAAAUUAUAUAAAAAAAAUGAAAUAAGUUGAAAAGAAUGACUGAGAAUUUAUAGAGAACUGAUAUCCUCAAAAAAGAGAGCCUAACAAUUUAAAGAAUAAAGGCAGAGUAUAAAACGAGGCAUGGAUAUGAUGGAAGCAAAAGUGAUUUGCCAGGGCAGAAAGCUAUGGGGCAAUACAGAGAAUUUGAUUUGGUGCAAAACGGCUUUAGCUGGGCUUUCUUUUCUACCUGAUGUCUUUAAUUUCUUUAAGCUUUCUACUUUUCUGUUCUUUGGAUAACACUGCAUACUGUUAGAGGGAAUGGAGUGAUCGGUUUCCGCCUACGCGUGGAUGCACUUCUUGCAAACCAGAAACUCUGAUUUGCUUUUAGAAAUCUACCUUCUGCAUCAUUUGGAGUUCAUCCCUCAGACACUGGACUUCUUGUUUCUGAUACUGGAGUUCAUUCUCCUUCACUCGGAGAAGCACCUUCAGAAGAAAGAUGGAAAAGCUCACAAGAACUCUUCUCAUUGUGUGAAGCACCGUCACGUGAGCCCCGAGCAGCAAUGAAGUCUCGUAACUGGCCAAUCUCUUCUGACAGACGCUUCUGCAACUCCUGGAAGAAUGAGGAUGAAAUAGUUUAACAUAUUCAUCAAAUAUAACAGGUGGAGGAAGCCUUUUUGAAGCUAGUAACUACUUAAACAUUUUUCCAAUAAUUGAGGGCCAUGGAGGGAAUACACUUGAUAACGUCCUCAAGAGAGAUAGAUUGUUUCUGGCUUUGCCACUUCGAUUUCUUAACUUUUAAAGUUAUUAAAAGAUGAGUUACAUAUAGCAAAAGCAUGGUUGUCUAACUUCUUAUAUUGACAAAAGACUCUGGACAAUUGCUACCAUUUUCAAUUGUGCAGCCUUGAGAAGAAACAUCUUAGGCUGCACGUUGCCAGGGCUCUCUCCAAAGCUUGUCUUUCCAGAGCUCAAUAGUGUUUGCUAUUCUAUUGCUCAACUUGACUCGGCAUCCUAGGGAUUCCAAACAGAUCUAUGGCUGACAUCACAAAAAUGGUUGCUAAAUCUCCCAGAAUUAGUUGCUAAGACAAGGACCACCAGGUAAGAAGAAUGGCAAGCUCACUGGUAUGUAAAUUUAAUUUGAAUUUUAAAUUAAGGAGAUUGUCCUACUUUCAUGAAUGUUACUUUGCUCUGUCAUUGUUCCUUCCCUCAGAAUUUCUGCUAUUGGCAGCACCACCAGCCCUUGCCUGGUUUUGCCGAAGCAGGUCUUUCCCCUCCUGUUGACAACGCUGCAGCAUUUGUUCCUGUUCUUCUGCCUUCUGUACCAGGCCCCCGAUCUGCAGGCACUUCUGGGAAUACUGUUCUGAAAGCACUUGCAACUCCCGCUUCAGAGACUCCACAUCAGACCUGCAGCAGAUACCAGGAUUUCACCAUCAACACCAUCUAAAUUUUCUCUGCUAGUCUUCCCCCUAUCUGGUGUGUCCCCUCCAAAAUAAGAAUCUUAUUUUGCAAAUCCUGAACAAAAUGUGACCGUCGUGACACAGAAGCCUGUUGAGAGGAUAAUCUAUACCAGGGGUGUCAUACUGGAUUUCUUCGAGAAACGGAUCAGCAUUGUAGUUCUCCAUGGGCAGGUGGGGGGUGUGGGGAGCGGGGAGCCGGAAUAGACGCCUCCUGCAGCACCUUGCCAGCCAAAAUGGGCCACGCAGGAGUCUCGCGAGGCCUCCACAUGGCUGUUUUUGGCCGGUAGAGUGCUGCUGGAGGCCGGGGAGGCUGAAAAUGGCUCGCACAGGGGCUGCACACACACACACCUGUGACCCAUUUGGGCCAACAGAGGCACUGCGGGCCGGUCUUUUGAUAUUGCCAGGCUGGCCCCGCAGGCCAGAUUUAAACACCCCACAGGCUGGAUCUGGCCCACAGGCCUUGAUUCUGACACCCCUGAUCUAUAUAAAUACAGCCUACUACUAUCAUCCCCAUUUCCAGGUCUGAUAUGCUUAGGCAUCUUUUUGAGUUGCCAGAGUUCCUUCUCUAGGCUAUCUAUGAUGCAAAAGGGCCUUAAAGGUCCUAUUUAAUCUAUCUUUCUGACCUAUCUUUCUAUCUGUUGAAAGAAUACAAGCAAUGGCUUCUAGUGAAAACUGAAAGCACAAGAUCAAUAGCUUUUCCUAUAAAAGGGUUGCAUUUAACGAAAUGAGCUAGAGGGGAUGCAUCCCAAAUGCACACGGGGCUGGGUCAAAGGAAGACAUACUGUAAAGGUAGGACAAAAACUGAAUUUGAUCCAAAUGAAUUUAAAUGAACACACAAAUUAAUAGCACUACUCUCCAGCUACUUUAUAUUUUUCUUUUCUAUAUUACUCUUAAAAUCGAUGGCAAAGUCAAUUUGCUCCCAAAACGCACCCAAAGAUUUUCAUCAAAUGCUACAGCAAUCAACAUUUUGAUAGAUACAAUUAUAUCGCCUAUCUUAAUUCACAAGUCAAGAUUCCUUCAAUCAUUUUUCUAUUGUCGCUUACCGAUGCUGUUGCUGGAGCGCAUUUGGAUCUGAAAACCCUUUCUGAAAGUUACGUGUUCUGCCCAACUCCUUGUUCAUUUCUUCCCUGUGUGCCUUCUUCAGAGCUUCAAUUGCUAGAGCAAAGGGAAGGGUAGGAAAAGAGAGACAGGACAAAGAAAGGAUCAGUAAAAUCUGCUAAACUUGUAUAUAUCUUAUAUAUUACCAAACUAAAUUGUCUUGGAAAGGAGAAAAAUCCAGUGGAAGAAUUUAAGUUCUGCACUCAUACAUUGUAUCAGGUGACAAAAGAGAACAUUUGUUCACUUGAUGUUUAAAUAAUGGAGAUUUCAGUGGCUAGAGCUAAACACAUUAUAUUUGAAUGAUACAUUUUAUUUGA